UGCCGAAAUUUUUCGGUAGAGUUUCUAUGUGAUAUUUUUAAUCAUACCGGUUAAGUAGAGUUAGUAGUCAAGUAGCGUCCACCUUUAGAGAAUAGUAGUAGUGUAGAAAGGUGGGUCGUUACACUCCACCUUCAAUCGGCCGGCGAGUUCAUCUACCACUCCACCUCCGGCCGAUCGAUCCUCUCCAUCUCGCCCAUCUGCAUCCCGUCACCCUCCUCCAUCCCGGCCUCAUCUUCUUACCGACGCGAACGCUGCCCAAUGCUAACUCCACCACCACCGACACACCAAGGAAAGGGGUUUUCUCCCUCUGGUCAUCCCCAUCGUGCAUCUCCUUCCUCUUCUCAUCUUCCUUCCACGAUAAGCCUUCAAGCUUCUAACAGCAGCUCCACCACAUCUCUUCCAUAUCCGCUCUUCGAUCUAUGAGUUCUUGGGCUUUCCCAGCUUCGUAUUCAAUCCGGACAGCUAUCUUCUUCAUCCAUCUUCGAUCCAGCAGCCUUCUCUUCUUCGCCAAGUCUGCAGCAAUUCCCUUCACCACCAGACAACUUCAUAUACACCUCACAGAAAUUGGGUUGUUUCUUUUAUCAUGGAUGUGUGUUGAUGUUUUUUUUAUUGAAUUCUUGUAUCAAACUUGAUCUUCUUUAAUUAGAUUGAACGCACUUGAUUUUAAUUGUUUCAUGCACACAACUUGUUUGAUGAAAUGUUCUAAUCUUCUAAUUCCUGCAUGUAACGUGUUCGGUAAAAUGUCUCUUUCAAUAGUUUGGUUCAAUUUGAUGCAUCUUAGUUUGCUUAACUCUUGCUUUGUAUUGAUCUUUCAAUUGUUAAGUUUUAUGUCUUCAUUUAAAUACAAUUAGGUUAAGUUAGUGUCUUCAUUUAAAUGCAGUUAGUUUUAUGUCUUCAUUUCUAUGUUUAGUGUGUAUUGUAUUUUAAGUUGUUACAUAUUGUUUCCUUAUAGCCAUAAUAUUCUAACUAAUUUGUAGAUGAGAAUGAGGUUAUCUAGAGACAAUCAAGUUAUCCAAGAAUGAUCCGUAAUUAUUUAAUGAGGUCAUUCUACUUUUCCAUAUUCUAUUGUGACUUAUAUUUCACUCGUUAGCAUCAUGCAGGAUACCAAGAGCAAAUGUUGCAUUAGCCACAACAACCAAGAGCAAAUGUUGCAUUCAAAAUCAUCUUUUAAUCUUUUGAUUGUCUCAACAAAAUUGGUUGGUUCGUUAAUUUGUACCAGCGAAGCAAUUUCUCUCAUAGAGUUUGAAGACAAGGAGGGUCGUGAUAGACAAUGUAAUAUAAAAAUUAGAUUACUUAUGGUAAGAUUUAAAAAUUUGUAUAGUUGUUUAUAGUUUGAUUAUUGGUCAAAUUUAUUUGGAUAAUGUAAAUAUUUAUUUAUUUUAAUGUUAAUUGUAUGAUACAUUUGGAAUUA